GACGUAGACAGAGGCCGCUGUGAAGUCACAAUCCAGCCACACAGCGUUGAUCCUGUCAUGGCUGGUGUGGUUGUCCCACAUGUGACCUGAACAUCCUUCCCACUCAGUACCAAAUACAAUUCAUUCUGUGGCUUGAUGGUGCGUGGACAUAACAUUCAGAUGUUGGCCAUAAUGAGGAAACAGAAGCUUGGAGAUAUGCUCCCCAUGGGCAGGCCUAGGAGUCCCCUUACCCAGAAAUCAGAAGACCAGGAAGGAGAAGUCUGCACAUGGCAAGCCAGCUGUGUUUCAGUCCUAUGGCCCUCUUCCAUCAGUGACGAUGUCCAAAAGGAUGCAAAGGCCUUGUGACAGAGGCUGCUGGGGAAUUAACAAACUUGCUUCCUCUUCCUGCUGGGCUCACACAGCCCAUUGCAUUUUCCAACCUCCAUUGCAAUUAAGCGACUGUGUGACUGGCUUUGAGCCUGGGAAACAUGGGCAGCAGUGAUUACACCACUUCCAUGCCUAUCCUAUUCAAGAUCCCUUGUGAGGUUCUCCAUGCUCCUUGUCCCUUCAGCUGGUUCCUAUGGAAAUGACUUCCAGGGCAACUUUGGGAGUUCCCUGAUGAAGAUGCUGAGCCACAAGAUGGGAAGAGUCUGGGUCCCUGAUUCAUCAUAUGGAGGAGAGCUUCCCAAUCAGGAAUAAUCUCACUGGACUGUGACAUGAGCGAGAAAGAAACUUUCCUUUUGCUAAACCACUGAGAUUUCUGGGUUCUGCUGAUACAACAGGUAGCAUUACUUCGAAAAAUACAACAUGAAUCUAGGACUUUCUGAAAGAACGAGAUGAUAGGUAAAUAAAGCCUAGGAACAACCUGUAGGAACUGGAGAAUGGCGCUUAUUAUGGAUGGAGAAGGAAAAAGAACUACAGGUCCUCCACAAUCUUCAAUGUAGAUUACAUCUGCAGUAAAAUAAUAUCUAGUGUAGAUCAACAAUAAUAUCUAGUGUGAAUCAUACAUUCUCCAAACAUGAGAUGCUUGUAGCUUGGAGAGAUCAAUAUUUCUUCAGACAAUCAGGCACUAACAGUACUUGUGGAUAUUCACUGUAUCUGGAGUCAGAGCUCCAGAUGGUAAAAUUCUUUGAAAAGCUUGCAAUUGGCACAGAAUGGAACAUGGGACUUUGUAAUUAGGUCUAUCCCAGAAUUACAACCUUUGCCCAUACUAAGUUGGAAACAAUAGAAAGUAUUUAAGUGUUGGACAUUUUAAUUACAGAGUAGGAGAGAAAAAACACGGUGAAUAAAGAUGUUGUGGUAUAUUGGCUAUAAUAUUCUUAGCAAAGUAGGAAGUUAUGAUUUCACAAAAACUCUCAACAGGUUUGUCACUUUGAUGGGGAGAGACUGCAGGUAUGGAAGCAGUAGAGACAUGAAUUACUCUGACAUUAUGGCAGAACAUUUCUCAAGUCUUUUCUGAAUAAUUGGACCCCCUUACAGGUCCAUCACUUUGCCACCAUGAGAUAAUAUUGAGUUUGCAAGAAUGUUUUUGCAGAGGCCGCUGUGCUCCUGGAAGACAGUAUUUAUAAAAAUAGUCACUUCGUGGGGUGGUAUCUGUUUGGGAUAGCGUGAGCCCCUCACGACUCUCAGCUUUAGAUAUGGAAAACUCGAAGACAGACACAAAGGAAAAUACUUCUAUUUUCAAUUAUUGAGAAAAUAAUCCUUUGUUUAAAAACCACUGCCUAUUGAUUAAAUUUAAUAAUAUUAGAGAUAUAUAACGCAUGAGUAUACAUAUUAUUUUUCAAAAAUUCAAACAGCUUAACACAAAGCUCUGUUCUCAACCAACAUUUCUUAGAUGUUUGCAGACAAAAGAUGAAAAUCGACUGAACUGUUUCUUAGGUUCGGGAGUUCUAGACUCCAGGAAAGAGGCUCUCUGGUCCUGAUGAGGCCAUAGGUUAAAUACGUUUGUUUAGUUAUUUUCUCUUUCUGCAUUGUAAAUUGCCUUUCAUUAGCUCACUUAAUUGCCUGGGAGAGAACCUUUUCUGAGUUACCCUCUGAAACCAGGAAAUUAGAUGUGAGAUGGAUAUCUAGCUUUCUCUUUUUUGUUACUAUAAACUAUAUAUCUCUAUUUUUCUCACUAGCCAUAAAACACAUUCAAUCGAGUACAUCACAGGCAGUUUAAGCGAUGCCAACAGUGUACUCUUAGCAGGAAUAUGAUACUGAAGUCCUACCUGUGAAGGAUUGAAGUAUUUUGGCAUUAUUUGUCUCUGAAAUAAACACACACACACACACACACACUCACACACACGACUGCGUAUCUCUCUGCAUAUGUGCUCUGAAUCCUAUAAUAAUCUGGUGAAUAGUUACUGUGACUUAUUGAAAACAUGCUGACUCUCAUCUUGAGUUGAACGCACUGUGCCAUGUGUGUUAUUUACUUCUCUGUGGCCUUUGUGAGGGUAGGUUUUGACCUAUAAUGGCCAAUAAAAUGUGUGAAUGUGAGAAUGCCUGAAUUAGCUCAAAGGAACAAAAAAAGAGUAUUGCCCUACAUAUUAAAGUGUUGGUGUUCUGGCAAAUCUAGGCGCUGCUGGUGGGGUGGUAGAGAACACGGAAGACCAGUAUUGGCAGGGAACUGAAGACUGAUGAAAUUUUUUAGACGUUAGGAAGGGCAUCGUACAUUCAUCUGCAACCGGGAAAAAAAGCCAAUAAUAGAAUGAAGCAAAGCUGGUAGAAACUAUAGCUAGAGACAGAUGAUUACUUCAAGAUUGGAGAAAAUGGAAAUGUGGGUACAGAUGUAUGAGUAAGACAGCAUGGAAGUGCAGGAAAGUGGUUAGUAUAGAAAGUUCUUCCCAUCAGUCCACACAACCCCCCAAAUCAGUGGUUUGCAGAGUUGGCCCCAGCCUCACUGGGAAUGUAAAUUCUUAGGCCCACCCCAGACCUACUGAAUCAGAAACCAUGGGGGUAGGACUCUUGAUCUGUCCUUUAACCAGCCUCCAGUGGUUCUGAUGAGGGCUGAAGGUUGAGGACCACUGGGCGAAGGUGUACAUGAAGUGGGAAGUAUAACUUUGCUGUUCUUGCAGAUGACUUCAGUCUUCCUGGCCCUUCACAGCAUCAGCCUCUUUUAAUGCUGUGUGCUGUUCUACUGUUUAUAGGCAUACAGUUUUCAGGCCAAUUAGUCCCUAGAUAGAAGCUCAAGGGUAGGCAUAGUCCUAUUUCAAUGCUAGAGAAAAUCUAGCAGGGCUGACUUUAGCGAGAGGCAGUGUGUCCAUCAUCGAUUGGCACUAUCCUACGGGAUUUUCAAGGAUAAUUUUGACCAUAGUCCAUAUUCACCACAUUGUGAUCACUUUGAACCCCAGACAGAUUCUACUCCACUAGCCCACUGCACCCACACCCAUCUCACUGUUCUGGUUUACAAUAAAGAAACCUCUGCCUUGGCAGCCCAAUGCACACUUAGCCUCUUCCCAUUUUGCUUGUUAGAGACUUUGCUAUACAAUGAAGAUUUACUGCCAUAUUCAGCUAAAAUGCCAGCUAGAGAACCUACAACACAGAAUACUUUUGAAGGGUUCAAAUGAAUGGGUUUGCUAUUUUUCAGAGUGCUUUAAAACACAAUUGAGUCUCUCCCUGCUGUUCCCUUACACUUGGGAUGAUUAUCUUGCAUCAGAGUUUGGUAUUACUAAAAGGCUUUUUGUCUGAUUAUGAGCCUAGAAGUCCCAGAAGACAGGGAGAUCUAAGAAUCCUUUUCAAGUCCAAAGAGAAUGUAGAG
rnacentral:lncRNA from 1 species